rnacentral:rRNA from 1 species
GUUAAAAAGCUCGUAGUUGGAUUUCUGUUGAGGAUGACCGGUCCGCUCUUUGAGCGCGUAUCUGGUUCAGCCUUGGCAUCCUCUUGGGGAACGCUACUGUGCUUGAUUGCAUGGGGCGGUAUUCAAGACUUUUACUUUGAGGAAAUUAGAGUGUUCACUGCAAGCGUUAGCAAUUGAGUACAUUAGCAUGGAAUAAUAAUAUAGGACCUUGGUACUAUUUUGUUGGUUUCUAGAACUAAGGUAAUGAUUAAUAGGGACAAUUGGGGCAUUCGUAUUAACGCGUCAGAGGUGGAAUUCUUAGAUUGCGUUACGACGAACUACUGCGAAAGCAUUUGCCAAGGAUGUUUUCAUUGAUCAAGAACGAAAGUAUGGGGAUCGAAGACGCUUAGAUACCGUCGUAGUCUAUACCAUAAACUAUGCCAACUAGAGAUUGGAGGUCGUUCUCUUUAUGACUCCUUCAGCACCUUAUGAGAAAUCAAAGUCUUUGGGUUCCGGGGGGAGUAUGGUCGCAAGGCUGAAACUUAAAAGAAUUGACGGAAGGGCACCACCAGGAGUGGAGCCUGCGGCUUAAUUUGACUCAACACGGGAAAACUUACCAGGUCCAGACUAGUAAGGAUUGACAGAUUGAUAGCUCUU